rnacentral:rRNA from 1 species
GACAGAGGGUGCAAACGUUGUUCGGAAUUACUGGGCGUAAAGCGCGUGUAGGCAGUCCCGCAAGUCGGAUGUGAAAGCCCUGGGCUCAACCUAGGAAGUGCAUUCGAAACUGCAGGACUGGAGUCCUGGAGAGGAAGGCGGAAUUCUCGGUGUAGAGGUGAAAUUCGUAGAUAUCGAGAGGAACACCGGUGGCGAAGGCGGCCUUCUGGACAGUGACUGACGCUGAGACGCGAAAGCGUGGGGAGCAAACAGG